rnacentral:rRNA from 1 species
UACGUAGGUGGCAAGCGUUGUUCGGAAUUAUUGGGCGUAAAGAGCUCGUAGGCGGUGUGUCACGUCGGCCGUGAAAACCUGCAGCUUAACUGUGGGCGUGCGGUCGAUACGGGCAUCACUGGAGUUCGGCAGGGGAGACUGGAAUUCCUGGUGUAGCGGUGAAAUGCGCAGAUAUCAGGAGGAACACCGGUGGCGAAGGCGGGGUCUCUGGGCCGAAACUGACGCUGAGGAGCGAAAGCGUGGGGGAGCAAACAGG